GUUAUAGGUUAUAUUACAGCCUGAGCUAGUGGAUGCUCCAAAUACCGUAAAACUAAAAAAUAUAGAGUAGCGAAAUAGCGAAAUAGUUCGCUACAUUUUUUAAGCAGUAGCUGUAGUCAGUNNNNNNNNNNNNNNNNNNNNUUCAAAAGUAGCAGUAGUUGUAGCUGACUACAUAUUUUUGAAGUAGCUGUAGUUAUAGCGAACUACAAAAAUUUUGUAGUCAACCCACCCUUGGUAAACACUAGACAAACCAUCCAUACAAAAUAAAAUAUCGCAGGGAAACUGUGAGUGUGGCUCAUCGUUUACUCUCAGCCGAUAUUCAGUCUUUAAUUUUUCUUAAAUCAUAUUUCUUUCAAUUUUCUUAAAUCAUAUUUCUUUCAAUUUUCUUAAAUCAUAUUUCUUUCAAUUUUCUUAAAUCAUAUUUCUUUCAAUUUUCUUAAUAGUCUCGGAACAAAUCAUGCCUGAUAUUUUCAGUCCUGAAAUAUAGUUUGUCUAAUGCCGUCGAAAUAUCCAGAACUGUCUUUUCCUCACUAAAAAUUCGUCCAGACGUAUCAUUGGCCGUCUCUAGCAUAAAUCGGGUCAUUCACAUUUAAGAUUCAUCAAUUUAAUAACUUAAUUAAUCACAAUACUAGCUUAUUAGUAUAGUAAAAGAACUAUAUGGGGACUAUAUAUAAUCAUAUAAUGGUAAUAUAGCACGUCGAUAUUAAUUCUACUUUAAUUAGUUGAUAAUUAUCAUACACUUUUUUUAAUCAACAUUUUUCUAUUAUCGAAAAGAAAACUUUGCAUUGUGAAAUAUAAUUAAGUGCAGUUGCUACUUUAUGUAAUCUAAAUUGAAGUGUAUAUAGGGACAUGUAAUCCAAAUGAUGCAAUCUUAAUUAAACGUAAUUUUUUAUAAUCA
rnacentral:lncRNA from 1 species